rnacentral:rRNA from 1 species
GCAUAUCAAUAAGCGGAGGAAAAGAAACCAACCGGGAUUGCCUUAGUAACGGCGAGUGAAGCGGCAAAAGCUCAAAUUUGAAAUCUGGUACCUUCGGUGCCCGAGUUGUAAUUUGGAGAGGGCAACUUUGGGGCCGUUCCUUGUCUAUGUUCCUUGGAACAGGACGUCAUAGAGGGUGAGAAUCCCGUGUGGCGAGGAGUGCGGUUCUUUGUAAAGUGCCUUCGAAGAGUCGAGUUGUUUGGGAAUGCAGCUCUAAGUGGGUGGUAAAUUCCAUCUAAAGCUAAAUAUUGGCGAGAGACCGAUAGUGAACAAGUACAGUGAUGGAAAGAUGAAAAGAACUUUGAAAAGAGAGUGAAAAAGUACGUGAAAUUGUUGAAAGGGAAGGGCAUUUGAUCAGACAUGGUGUUUUGUGCCCUCUGCUCCUUGUGGGUAGGGGAAUCUCGCAUUUCACUGGGCCAGCAUCAGUUUUGGUGGCAGGAUAAAUCCAUAGGAAUGUAGCUUGCCUCGGUAAGUAUUAUAGCCUGUGGGAAUACUGCCAGCUGGGACUGAGGACUGCGACGUAAGUCAAUGAUGC